rfam:Canis lupus familiaris chromosome 37, whole genome shotgun sequence.
GUGCUUGCUUUGGCAACACAUAUACUAAAAUUGGAACAAUACAGAGAAAAUUAGCAUAGCCCCUGCACAAGGAUGACACAUAAAAUAAGUGAAAAAAGAAAGGAAGGA